rnacentral:lncRNA from 1 species
GCUUCCCGGCUCCCCGGCUACCCUUUUCUCCUGCGCUUCCCCCUUCUCCCCUUCCUUCUCCUUGCCGAGCCCCUCCUCUUCCUUCGUUUUUCCCCUCCGUGCCGUAAACCUCUUCUCCGUUUCCCUCCGCCGCAUAUUCCUCCCCUCCUCCUCCUCUUUCCUCUCCUCCCGGCUGCCUUUCCCGCCUCUGGCCGGGAGUCCUCUCCACGCCCUGCCCCCCAACCUGGUGGCUCUUAGGUCAAAGCGGUGGCUUGGCGCCGAGCAAGGGUGAUUCUCAGGACCCCGGCUGGGCCGGCUGGUUCGGGCUUGCUCAACCCUUGCGCCCCCCACCCCCACCCCCCGCUCCCACCCGACCGACCUCCAAACGCUGGUCUCUGAGGGCACAGACCCUUCCCUUUCCCUCUGCACCCUCUAGGUGAUUUUAUCCAAUCUCAUAGCUUAAGUAGACCUAUGUUCUUGUGAUUCCCAGAUUUAUAUUUCAAGCCAAGACCUCUCUUCUAAUCUCCAGAUUCCUACAUCCAGCAGCCCGUUUGAUUAUGCCGCUUUUUUGCAUCUCAGAUUUUAGACGGGUGUACGCGUGUGUCCGAACUCAGCUAAUGUGCAGUCAAGAUCUGGGCGUUUCACCUUGAAUGUAAAUUUUAGAUCAAAAGAAAAAAGCUAGACAUAAAUUGUAUGCGUGCUGAGGUGAAUUCUGAGGAAAGUGCAUUGAUGCCCGCAAUUUAAACGCAUUACUGAAGUAAGAUGGGCUGAUAGAGGCAUGAAUAGAUGAUAUGGUAAGAUGUUAAACUUAGGCGAUGGGGAUAUGGGUGUUGCUUGUAAAACUCUUUCCAGUUUGCUCUGAAAUUCUUCACUAUAGAAGGUGGGGAAAAUGUCACGUGGAAGACAUAUUUACAUGUGCAACACCCUAUUUCCCCACCCCCCAGGUUUCUUCACCAUAUCAAUAUUUACUGUUUUGGUAAAUCUGCAAGUUCCUGAAGCCAGCAAAAUUAUGUUUCUCUCCUAACACUCUCACAGCCUUUUAUUCUCCAUUCAAUCCAUUAGCAAGUCUGAGCUAUUCUACCUUCAAAAUAUGUUCAAUCCCUGUUUCUCACCGUUGGUAUUGCUAGAGCAAACCAUUAUCUCUUGCCUCAGCUACUGCUCUGGUUCCCUAACUAGGAGAGUGCUUCUUGGGUCCUCCUACAGUCACUUCUCCCCAGCAGUCAAAGUAUUAUUUUUAAAAUGUAAAUAAGAUCUGAUUACUCUGCUGAAAACCCUCCAAUGGCUUCGUGUUACACUUUGAAAAAAUUCAACGACUUAACCUGACCUGCUUCGCCCUGCACAGAUGUGGGUCCUGCUUCUCUUUCCAAGGCUGUCUUGAUACCCAAACCCUUCUAAACACAGUUCCCUAAUCACGGUAGCCCUCUAUUCUUCCCUACUUCUGGAAUUUAUCACCCUCAUGUGAUGCUGAUGGAAGAGUUCCCCAGGCCACGCUUUGUAGCUUGCUUGCUUUUUCAUGUAUCAACUACCAUCUACUUCUAC